GUCUAAUCCUCUGCGAUGGGGCCAGUCUGCAGAUCCGUCUGGGCGGGCUGCGGUAGCAUUCUCCACCUGCCAACACUCAGUUGCUGGUGAGUAACCAGCAUACGGACUCUCACUUCCUAGGCAGGGUCUCACUUCAUCUCAGCCUCCAGAGUAGCUGAAACUACAGGCAGGAGAGAGAGUGGUCUCACAACGGAAGGGCACCAGCCACUGAGAAGUCCUAAGGCCGUGUUUGAGUUCUGGCUCAUCUUUUUUGCUAAUUUGCUCUUAUGCAUAUCACCCAACCUCGCUAAGCCAGUUUCAUCAUCAGCGAGAACAGCACACUGACAUGCAGGGCCAGCUCAGGCGCUACCACAAGCUACACAUCCGUCCAUUCGUUUAAUCUUCACAGCAGCCCUGGAGACUUUCUUUUUUAAAAGCAAAAUAAAUUGACAUGACUUGUUCAGGGUUAACUGUUUGGCAGGUGGAUGAUCUGUGGCCAUCCAUGAUGAGAUCACCUCCCUGCCCCGCUGGCCCCCAGCCUCUAGAAGUCAGGGCUUCUGAGGCCCAGAAGCUCAGCGCCACACCUGUUGAAGGCCAGUGAUGUCAGAGUUACUCUUCCUUCCUCCAGCAGCACUGACAGCAGUUUAUUGUACGCAAUUUCUAGAACUCAGAUGUUCUAGAAGGAAGCAAACAUAUUCUGAGAUCACAGACUAUGACUAUGCUCUCAGAAUAUGUUCUAGAACACCUAAGUUGCAAUUCUUAAAAUCAACACAGCGUAAGACUGCUUUAGGAGGAAGUGAUCAAGCUCAAAGCAACCUAGGCAUGAUGUGCCUUGUUUGUUUAUCUGUUUGAACAGGAAUAAAACGAAAAGAGGCCUGUG
ensembl:lncRNA LINC00513 long intergenic non-protein coding RNA 513